AUGUAUAGCCGGGCGGUGGUGGCACACACCUUUAAUCCCAGCACUUGGGAGUCAGAGGCAGGAGGAUCUCUGUGAGCUCAAAGUCA
rnacentral:miRNA from 1 species